GUCUACGGCCAUGCUAUCCUGAACGUGCCCGAUCUCAUCUGAUCUCAGAAGCUAAACAGGAUUGGGCCUGGUGUACUUAGAUGGGAGACCACUUAGGAGUACCAGGUGCUGUAGGCA
rnacentral:rRNA from 1 species